UCUGAGUAUAGGAUGAAUCUCAUAUAUUGAUGUUAUUUGUGUCUGAAAUUACAUUGAUGUUUAUUCACCUUGGAGAACUGAUACUCAGA
rnacentral:snoRNA from 1 species